GCUGGGUGCGGUGGCUCAUGCCUGUAAUCUCAGUGGCUCUGGAUGCUGAGACAGGAGGAUCGUGAGUUCAAAGCCAGCCUCAGCAAGGACGAGGUACUAAGCAACUCAGUGAGACCCUGUCUCUA
rnacentral:sRNA from 1 species